rnacentral:rRNA from 1 species
UGGGGAAUCUUGCGCAAUGGGCGAAAGCCUGACGCAGCAACGCCGCGUGUGUGAUGAAGGUCUUCGGAUCGUAAAGCACUGUCGCGAGGGACGAAUAAGGGCCGGGUUAACAGCCCGGUCCGAUGACGGUACCUCGAGAGGAAGCACCGGCUAACUCUGUG